CAGUGUGGAGCUGGAGGUACACACCGGGUCAGGCAGCGUGACAACAGCAGGAAAGCCGGCGUUUCGGGCCUAGACCCGUCAUCAACGUUAACUCUGACUUCUCUCUCUACACAUUUUUCCAUCGGUUUGUUUAGUCUUGUUAGGGAUAGCCCUGAUUACCUGACCGCAGUCAGCAGCCGGCAGUAGAAGGCGGCGUGUGCACAGGCGCAGACGGUCAGGGACCAUGUCCGGAUCCUAAGUUUAAGCCUCGAUAUUGUCCAGAUCUUGUUGUAUUCGAACAUGUACUGAAGCAGUCCAUGACUGGUUGUGAAUGGUACUGAACAUUGUGUAGUCAUCGAUUAACAUCCGCACUUCUGACCUGAUGAUGGAAGGAAGGUCAUUGAUGAAGCAGCUGAAGAUGGUUGGGCCUGGAACACUACCCUGAGGAACUCCUGCAGCGAUGUCCUGGAAGUGGGAUAUCUGACCUCCAACAACCACAACCAUCUUCCUAUGUUUGAGAUUGUGGAUGUUACUGGCUGUGCCUGAACCCAUCCCUGGAUGCCCUCAAAAAGCUGAUGGAUGAGAGUGUCGCUGGCGAGGCAGCAUUUAUUGCCCAUCCCUAAUUGACCAGAGGGCAGCAGUUAAGAGUCAACCACAUGGCUCUGGGUCUGGAGUUACACGUAGGCCAGACCAUGUAAGGAUGGCAGUUUCCUUCCCUAAAAGGCAUGAGUGAACCAGGGUUUUUUAAUUGAAAGACAAGCACACAACCAGAAUGGCUCCGCUGAAGACCACCAGCAGGUCACCCUUAGACUGUCCUUCUCUAAAGAGCCCAAGCAAAAGACGAUAAGCUGAAGGAGCAGACGUAGACUAUUAGGACAAGUGAGUCUGCUCGAAGAUUCAGUCAGCUCAUGACUGAAAUCCUCAACUCUACUUUCCCAUCUUUUUCGCAUUGCUCUUGAUUCCCUUCAUGAUUAAAGCUCUAUCUUUCUCAGCCGUGAA